GGUGCAAUUUUAUCCAAACUUUACAGGAAUGAUCAGUACCAAGUCUAGUUGUGCACUAUCCGUCUGUCUGUCUGUCUGUCACAAACUUUGUCCCAACAUGAAAUUGGCCAUCAUGAGGCGACACAUGUGAUUACUGAUCGCUCUUGUUCUUAUAUGUGUAUAGCAAAAACUUAAAAAAUCUUCUUUGAAAAAAACCCAAAUAGCUAGAGUUUAGAUAUUAAGCAUGAAACAUCUUCUAGAGAGUGUCUACCAAGUUUGUUCAAAUAAAAGCCCUGGGGUUAAAAUUGGCCCCGCCCCAGGGGGUCAUUGAUUUUCCCUAUAUGCAUAUAUUAAAAACUUAAAAAAUCUUCUUUUAAAACACAAAAAGAGCUAGAGCUAAGAUAUUUAGCAUGAAACAUGUUCUAAUGGGUGUCUACAAAGUUUGUUCAAAUAAAAGCCCUGGGCUCAAAAUAGGCCCCGCCCCGGGGGUCAUUGAUUUUCCUAAUAUGUGUAUGGCAAAAACUUAAAAAUCUUCUUUGAAAAAACCCAAAUAGCUAGAGUUUAGAUAUUAAGAAUGAAACAUCUUCUAGUAAGUGUCUACAAAGUUUGUUCAAAUAAAAGCCCUGGGGUCAAAACUGGCCCCGCCCCAGAGGUGUCAUUGUUUUUAACUAUAUGUGUAUAGUAAAAACUUAAAAAAUCUUCUUUUAAAAAACCCAAUGAGCUAGAGGUUAGAUUUUAAGCAGGAAACAUCUUUUUGUUGGUCAUUGUUUUUCAUUAUAUGUGUGUAGUAAAAACUUAACAUCAUGAAACAUCUUCUAAUGGGUGUCUUCCAAGUUUGCUCAAAUAAAAGCCCUGGGGUUUAAACUGGCCCCGCUCCGGGGGCCUAUAUACAGGUGAGCGACCUCAGGGCCAUCAUGGCCCUCUUGUUU